rnacentral:rRNA from 1 species
AGAGUUUGAUCCUGGCUCAGAACGAACGCUGGCGGCGCGCCUAACACAUGCAAGUCGAACGAACUUACCCCCUUCGGGGGGAUAAGUGAGUGGCGAACGGGUGAGUAUCGCGUAAGUAACCUACCCCCAGGACUGGGAUAACGGUUCGAAAGAACCGCUAAUACCGGAUGAUGUCUUUUAACUACGGUUGUAAGACUAAAGAAGGCCUCUGUUUCAAGCUUUCACCUGGGAAUGGGCUUGCGUCCCAUUAGCUUGUUGGUAGGGUAAUGGCCUACCAAGGCAACGAUGGGUAGCCGGCCUGAGAGGGUGAUCGGCCACACUGGAACUGAGACACGGUCCAGACUCCUACGGGAGGCAGCAGUGAGGAAUCUUGCGCAAUGGGCUAACGCCUGACGCAGCGACGCCGCGUGGAUGAUGAAGCUUUUCGGAGUGUAAAGUCCUUUCAUGAGGGAAGAAAUGCUGGUUUUGCGAAUACCAUGCCAGUUUGACGGUACCUCAAGAAGAAGCCCCGGCUAACUCCGUGCCAGCAGCCGCGGUAACACGGAGGGGGCAAGCGUUGUUCGGAAUUACUGGGCGUAAAGAGCGCGUAGGUGGUUGAGUAAGUCAGAUGUGAAAUCCCUCGGCUCAACCGAGGAAUUGCGUUUGAUACUGCUUGGCUUGAGGGCAGGAGAGGAGAGCGGAAUUCCCAGUGUAGCGGUGAAAUGCGCAGAUAUUGGGAGGAACACCGGUGGCGAAGGCGGCUCUCUGGACUGUUCCUGACACUGAGGCGCGAAAGCCAGGGGAGCGAACGGGAUUAGAUACCCCGGUAGUCCUGGCCCUAAACGCUGGGCAUAGUGGGGGGGGGGUUGUCGAUCCCCCCCGUGCCCCAGCUAACGCAUUAAGUGCCCCGCCUGGGAAGUACGAUCGCAAGGUUGAAACUCAAAGGAAUUGACGGGGGGCCCGCACAAGCGGUGGAGCAGUGGUUUAAUUCUACGCAACGCGAAGAACCUUACCGGAAUUUGACAUGUUUUCGACGACCUUCAGAAAUGUUGGUUCCUUUCGGGGCGAUUACACAGGAGUUCAUGGUUGUCGUCAGCUCUGCGUGGAGUUGGGUUAGUCCGCACGAGCGCAACCUUGCCUUAAUUGCAGCGUUCGGCGGGACUUUAGGGGACGGCGUACAACCGAGGAAGUGGAGACUCAGUCAUUGCUUAUGUUCGGCUACACGUGCACAAGGCGACAAGGUACAUACCGCGGGGACAAUCAAACCGUCUAUUCGUGUAAUGCACCACUCGUGAUUGAUCUAUAUCUGUAUGACGCUGGUAUAUCUCUGCCUGACACUCCCUCACACGAAUGGUAUCGAUAUCUGCUACUCUUGGAUAUCAAGUGUGCGCUGUGGGAGCACC